CAAAAACAUAGUCUCAUGUAUUAAUAUUAGGUGUUUUCUGCUCAAUGAUUUAAUUAAAUAGCCGCGGUACCCUGACUGUGCAAAGGUAGCAUAAUAACUUGGCUUUUAAUUAAAGUCUAGAAUGAAUGAAUAUAUGUAAGGCGGACUGUAUAUAUAAUAGUAGUUGAAAUUACUUAGGAAGUGAAAAUACUUUCAGAAAAUUAAUAGACGAGAAGACCCUUGAAAUUUAUAUUAAUUAUUUUGUUGGGGCAACAUGGGAGCAAGAAACCUCCCGUAAAUACAUGAAGUUUGUCGGUAAGUGUAAAUUACUCUAGGGAUAACAGCAUAAUACUGUGUGUGUUUGUGACCUCGAUGUUGGAUUAGGGAGCUGCAGCUUAGAAAGCAACCAGAACGCUCUGUUCGAGCM
rnacentral:rRNA from 1 species